rnacentral:rRNA from 1 species
GUGCACCAGUCGCGAAACCUCCGCAAUACACGAAAGUGUGACGGGGCCAUCCCGAGUGCCGUCCGCUGAGGACGGCUUUUCCCCAGUGUACACAGCUGGGGGAAUAAGGAGAGGGCAAGCCUGGUGUCAGCCGCCGCGGUAAUACCAGCUCUCCGAGUGGUGGGGACGCUUAUUGGGCCUAAAGCAUCCGUAGCCGGCUGGGCAAGUCCUCCGUUAAAAUCCAACGAUUCAAUCGUUGGGCUGCGGGGGAUACUGUCCAGCUUGGGGGCGGGAGAGGCCGACGGUAUUCCCGGGGUAGGGGUGAAAUCCUAUAAUCCCGGGAGGACCACCAGUGGCGAAGGCUGUCGGCUAGAACGCGCCCGACGGUGAGGGAUGAAAGCUGGGGGAGCGAACCGGAUUAGAUACCCCGUAGU